rfam:Triticum aestivum genome assembly, contig: Triticum_aestivum_CS42_TGACv1_scaffold_434903_5DL
UACAUACUCCCUCCGACCGAAAAAGCUUGUCUUUCAAAUAGAUGUAUCUAGCAUCAAGUUAGUGCUAGAUACAUCCAUUUGAUGGACAAUGUUGGGACAAGUUUUUUUGGACGGAGGAAGUAUGUU